rnacentral:lncRNA from 1 species
UGUCAAUUUACGUUAGAAUCCCAAGUUAGGCACUUCAUAGAGCUAUAUCCCAUUUUUUGGCCCACACUACAGGGGUCUUUUCAAAGCUUCUAGCCCCAAUAGCCCAUUAAAUGGGUUGGUAUUGAAUCAGGGUCCGGUUAAGCCCCUGACCCCGAAAACUUAUGUUCAAACCAAUCUUCUCCAACGUGGAGCUCAUCAAUAGCUGGAGCUUGACAGCAACACACGCGCUAGAGCUCGACAGUCGACACCAGCACACGGCGGUAUGUAGGAUAAUUAUAGGAAAAGGAAAGUUAUUUUGUUUCUUGUGAUUAUGAUGGUAGGAGUAAUUACUACCUGAGCAGUUACAUAUCUGCAGAAAAGAGGAUUAUGUUUUUCUGUUUAUUUAUCUGAGAUUGUUUGUGUGGAGAGUAUACUACAAGGACUUAGUGUCUCAACUGAUUUAUUUCAUUUAUUGUUCCAAUCUUACUUGCGUUUUGUGUAAAAUUAGGACUGUAUUCAGUUUAACUUACAUUCUAAUUACCUUUUACUGCAGCUUUUCCUUGAGCAUGGUUAUUGUGAAUUAAAGGUGCGUUCACAAAUUGAGUAAAAAAAUUCUUCAAAAAAUUGAGUAAAAGAAAUUUAGAGCCCAAUCUUAAAGCUUUUCUUAAGUUCCCAUUCUCUUUAAACCAAUACAUUAAAAAAUGGGGUUUAGUUGGUAAAGAAGGAAAUUUUAAAUUUUGAACUUGAACUGUGAUGAUUAAUGGUUAGGUUUUUAUUUUUCAGUGGUCAACAAGUUAUUUCAGUAUUUUUUGUUUCAUUAUCCUUAAUAUCUUAGACUCUAAAGAAUAUGGGGUAUUAAAAGCUAGUUUCCUUUUUGCUCUAAAAGAAGUUUAAUAAAUAAUUGUUCUUUUUUAAUAAGUCAUCCGUACAAAUGUAAUGAAUAAAUGAUGUUUAAUAGAGAUGAUAACGGUGGAUACUAUAUUGUGUUUUGGCUCUUUUACAUUUGAUUUUUCAAAAAUGAGUUGGUCUGUUGAUUUAGUUUAUCUGUCAUAUAAUAUUUAACCUGCAAACCUCGGGUCUGUUGUCUCAGUUACUUCCCUUUCACUUAUUUCCUUUUCUCCAUGUUGUCACUGUUUUGGGCUUUCCAGAAUCAAUGGAUCACUCCAUGAUUAACUUCGUUUGAAUGUUUUCAAUGUGAGAAUGGUUGGAGAGGGUUUUGGUUCCUCCUGAAAUUCUCUUGCUGUAAUGAUUUAUGGUAUUAGGGAACACCAAAUUCUAUAGAUGGAACUUUCUAAAUUUAUCUCUGUUGUUUGCUCCCUUGUUGAUUUGGUUUUGGUGAGUUUUUAUUUUUCUUUGUCUGAGGAAUAGUUUAAUGUUGAUGGUGAAUUUCAAAUGGAUUGGUAAUGUGUCAGGUUGAAUGCUGAAUUUUUAGAAAUGUGAUGGAACAACGAACGAGGUUGGAAGACCUGGAGAAGUUGGUAGACAUUUUGGUACAACUGAGACACUGAAAUAGAGGGUUAGGUACCUGUGAAAGGUAGUAUAACAACUUAUAGUUGAGAAUUUUGGAUAUGCUUCAAUGAAAUAGAUUCUUCGUAGAGGUUUUAAAUUGUGGUCAUGGUUGCAGUUUUGUUGUAAGGUUGGAUAUUUGGGGAAAUGGCGGACAGAUGCAACUAGAGUUAUGGUGUUAUCUUGUACUGAAUUUGACAAAUGGAACAUUGUUUAUUUUUAUCUUAGUAGUAAUUUGAUGGAUGGAACAUGGUGGUGUUUUUCUCUUUGUACUAAUUGGUUGCUCCCUGGUAUCCAUGUAUGAUAGGUUUCUGAUUGAGAAACCUUAUCUUCACUCACUUCACACGCUAACAGAGUAUAGAGAAAUGCUGAAUAACCUCUGGUUUAUUGAUCAACAAGAAAGAAUACAAGAAUGGGACAACAAGGGAGCCUAACCUCCCUCCAACAAGACUCAAUUGUCUUUUCAAAACACAAGAACUGCCAAAAGUCCCUCUCCAAUACCCAACUCUCCUAUUUAUACAAACUAACAUUCCCGUCCAUCCUAACUGUUAACACAGUUAGGCCAACUAACCAACUAACUCUCUCCAACUGUUUAAUAACAGUUGUCUAACCUCUCUUCUUCCUUACAUACACCUUCAACUUCCUAUCAAUACCCUCCCCUCCAUUUUCAACCUUGUCCUCAAGGUUGAAUUUCGGAAAUUGGUCCUUAAUUAUUGUCAAGUCUUCCCAUGUCACUCCUUCUGUACCCCCAGUCUGCCACUCUAUCAGCACUUGUUGAAUCACGUCUUCUCCCUGUUGAAGUUGCCCACGUUCAAGCACCUUGGUUGGCCAGAAAGCAGGUCCUUCGGCCUGCAAUUCCUCUGGUAACGCUUUCUCCACUAUUUUAUCUCCCAUUCCUUUUUUAAUUGAGAAGCAUGGAACACUGAGUGAAUUCUCCUGCCUCUGGAAGCUCCAAUCUAAAAGCCACAUUUCCAACCUGUUGUAAUACUUUAAAUGGCCCAAAAUACCUAACUGACAGCUUGGGGUGUAAUCACACUGGCAUUGAGGAUUGUCGGUGGGGCCUUAUCUUCAAAUAGACCCAAUCUCCCACCUUCAUAUCCACUUCUCUCCUCCUUUUAUUAGCCUGUUGGGUCAUCAAAUCUUGGGCACGUUUUAAAUGAUGCUUCAACUGCUUGAGGGCCUCAUCUCUCGUCAUGAGGUCCUGUGCUACUGCUUCCACCUGUGUCUCCCCAGGAAUAAACCGACUGAAAGAAGGAGGAGGCCUUCCAUACACAAUCUCAAACGGUGUACACUUUGCUGCUCCUUGGUAACUUGUAUAGUACCAAAAUUCUGCCGAGGGUAGCAUUGAAUACCAGUUCUUAGGCUGUUCAGAAUAGAAACACCGCAAGUACCCUUCCACAAUGCGGUUUACCACCUCCGUUUGCCCAUCCGUUUCCGGAUGAUAAGAUGUACUCAUCUUGAGGUGAGUCCCUUGCAUUUUAAAAAGCUCUUUCCAAAAAAUACUCAAGAAUAAAGGGUCUCUGUCGCUCACCAUUGAUACUGGAAUCCCGUGCAACCUGAUAACCUCCUUAGCAAACACAUCAGCAACUGUUUUUGUAGAAUAUGGGUGCUUCAACGCCAAAAAAUGUGCAUAUUUACUCAGCCGGUCAACCACCACCAUAAUAGCAUCAUAACCUUUCGACUUGGGCAGCCUCACAAUGAAAUCCAGGCUAAUUUCCUCCCACACUGCCUGAGGAAUUGGCAAGGGUUGUAGCAAUCCUUGAGGGGAUGCUAUCACAUACUUGUGUUGUUGGCACACUGCACAGCUUGCCACGAAAUCUGUAAUCUCCUUAUUCAUACCCAUCCAAUACAAAGAUUGGGCUAUCCUUCUUUAAGUUCUAUAUACACCCGAAUGCCCCCCAGUCUUGGUCACAUGAAACUCCUCAAGUAGUUUAGGAAUCCAAUUGGAUUUCGCAGAUAUUACCAAUCUGCCUUUAUAAUGCAACCUGUCGUUCUCUAAAGUAUAUGCCCUUUUCGAGUUAGGAUCGUUUCUCAGAUCCUCAAUCACCUUUUGCAGCUCGGUAUCCUCCUCUACCUCCUUCAAGAUUUCUUGGAAAUCUGGCCAGAAUGGCCUAGAAAUAGCUCGCAACUCCCCUUUUUCUUGUUCUCCUUCAUGCCUCCGUGAAAGAGCAUCUGCAGCCCUAUUAGUACUUCCCUUUUUAUAUACAAUCUCAAAUUCAUACCCCAUCAACUUAGCCAGCCAGUUUUGCUGGCUCUGGGUAGUAAUUCUCUACUCCAACAAAUAUUUCAAACUCCGCUGGUCUGUGUAUACCGUGAAUUUUCUUCCCACCAAGUACGGCCUCCAAUGUUAGAUAGCUAACACCAAAGCCAUCAACUCUUUUUCGUAGAUUGAUUUACUGAGGUUAUUCUCCGACAAGGCUUUACUGAAGAAUGCUACAAGCUUCCUAUUUUGGCUCAACACAGCACCCACUCCUCCCCCCGAUGCAUCACACUCAAUACAGAACUCUUGGUUGAAAUCGGGUAACUCCAACACAGGGGCUAACGUGAUCGCUGCCUUCAGUUCCUCGAUAGCCUACUUCGCCUGUUCGUUCCACGAAAAUUUUCCCUUCUUGAGCAGUUCUGUCAAUGGUUUGGCUAUUUUUCCAUAGCCAGCCACGAACCUCCUAUAGUAACCCGUGAGCCCAAGGAAACCCCUCAACAUUUUUAAGUUCCUAGGUUCUUCCCAUUCAACCACUGCUUUAAUAUUUUUCUCCAUCCAUUUCUACUCCCAGAUUUGAAAUUUGAUGGCCCAAGUAACGUAUCUUCUUCUUCCCAAAAUCACACUUCUUCCGGUUGGCCACCCACCCAUUUCGUUCCAGCAGCUGCAUCACCAUUCCCAACUGUUUAAGAUGAUCGGCCCAAUUUGGACUAUAGACGAGAAUAUCGUCAAAAAAGACCAACACACAUUUCCUCAAAUACGGUUGUAAGAGCUUGUUCAUUGUACUCUGAAAAGUGGUCGGCGCAUUCGUUAGUCUGAACGGCAUCACGAGAAACUCGAAGUGUCCCAGGUGGGUACGGAAGGCCGUCUUCGCUACAUCUGCUUCCUCCAUCCUGAUCUGGCGGUACCUAGAUUUCAAAUCUAUCUUAGAAAAGUAUCGGGACCCUCUUAAUUCGUCCAACAGCUCCUCUAUCACCGGAAUUGGGAACUUGUCCGGUACAGUGGCCUUGUUUAGUGUCCUGUAAUCCACACAAAAGCGCCAACUUCCAUCCUUUUUCUUCACGAGUAUGACCAGGUUGGAGAACGGGCUCGAGCUGUGGCGUAUGAUCCCGGCCUUCAACAUCUCCUCAAACUGUUUUUCGAUCUCCCCCUUCAGAAUGUCAGGAUAGCGGUAUGGCCUCACAUUUAUAGGGUCUACACCCAUUUUCAACUUGAUUCAGUGUUGUAUGUGACAUUUUGAAGGGAGCCCAUGCAUGCCUUGGAAGAGCCGAUAGUGGAAUUGUAGCAGCUUUUCUAGUUAGGCCCGCUGUUCACCUGUCACAUCUGUUCCCCACUCACCGUCUUCAGCUGUUUCUAUCGAACUCAAGCCCCACACUAAUGCCCCUAACUUCGCGUCAUCUCCAAGCUUCCACAAGGAUUUUGACUUCACCAGCUGUCGCGAAAGGGUGGGAUCUCCCUUGAUCGUGAUCUUUCUAUCCCCCACGUGGUACUUCAUUGUCAUACUUCCCCAAUUUGCUCUGACUUCUCCUAAUUUAGCUAGCCAUGCAACACUCAGAAUAAUGUCGACACCCCCCAACUCAAAAACGUGGAACUCUUCCUCCACAUCCACCUCCUCCAAUCGGAUCACCACCCCAACACAACGUCCUUGGGUAACUCGCCGACACUCGUCGCCUAAACUCACUGUGUACGGUGCAGUAGCGAUCACCGGCAAGCCCAGCUCCUUCGUGGUCCUCUUGCUUAUAUAGUUGUGGCUGGCUCCGCUAUCUAUGAGAACCACCACCCUCCGUUCACCAAUAUUUCCUAUCAACUUCAAGGUUCCCCGAUUAGUCCAGCCCUCUGCAGAACAUGCCGACAACUCCAUAACUUUCUUCUCCUGAUCGUCGUUUACCUGACCCUCUUCCCCUUCGUCUUCGUCUUCUGCAAGUAAUAAUACUCGGAGACUCCUUCGGUGCAUCGAUGGCCAGGUGCGAAUGGCCCGCCACAUCGGAAGCAUCGCCCCUCCUCCUUCCUCUUAAGAAACUCAGGGUAAGGUAAAUUUCGAACCAUACGGCCUCGACCUUCACCCACAGUCGCUGCGCUCGCUCUCGCCACCGGGUUCGCUGUCGCUCCCUCUCUCCUCGCAGUUCCUCCACCCUCUAUUCUUCACCACUGAUUCGUCGCUGGCUUAGUCGCCUCCGAUCGCGUCACGCUAUCCAUGGGUCGCGCACUGAAUGGGUAUAUCUUGAACCCAUUCGCAUGGCUUCCCUACGCUCUCAUCAUAGCAUGUUCCACAUCGCGUGCGAUUCUCAUCGCUUCCAUCAACUCCGAGGGGUUCUGUACCCUCACCUGACCCUUCACAUCUUCACAUAAACCGGCUAAGAAGUAACCCAUCACCUGUACCUCCGGGAUCCCCUUCGUCUGCCCCAUCAAGACCUCAAACUGACGAACAAAUUCCUCGACUGUACCCUCCUGGCGUAGAGUGGCCAAUCGUUCGAAUACGGUCCCCCUAAAUCCACCCCCGAAGCGAUUAAUCAUGGCUUCUUUCAGCCCUUCCCACGUUCGAUUGCUUGCCUUCUCUUUCCAAAAAGUGAACCAGUAUGUUGCGCUACCCUCCAUGCUUACAUAGGCGAUCUCUACCUUUUCCUCAUCUUCCGUCACUCGUUGUAUAUCGAAGAACCUCUCUGCCCGAUUGAGCCAGCUGAGUGGUUCGUCUCCGUCAAAGGUGGGUAACUCAACCUUCUUCCUCCAAGGUUUCUGCUCCCCAGUUCUUUCACCGCUUCUCCCACCUCCGUUUUCCCCAUUUCCCCUAUGUCUGUUAUCGUUAACAGAGCUAUCGUCAGAACUGUUCUCCGUCUGAUUCCCCUUUUUUCCAGAAUCUUCAUGAUUUAUUGUAAGUCUCGAUGUAGCGCCGCAGACUCCGCUUUCAUUCCCUCCACCGUUAUCUCGAUCGCUUCUAAUCGUGCCUCCAUGGCUUUCUCCAUCUCCCCGUCGCAGUGUCCUCCACGAAAAGUAUCCGGUAGGUCGGACCAAUCUUGAUAGGGUUCUGAUUAAGAAACCUUAUCCUUCACUCACUUCACACGCUAACAGAGUAUAGAGAAAUGCUGAAUAACCUCUGGUUUAUUGAUCAACAAGAAAAAAUACAAGAAUGGGACAACAAGGGAGUCUAACCUCCCUCCAACAAGACUCAAUUGUCUGUUCAAAACACAAGAACUGCCAAAAGUCCCUCUCCAAUACCCAACUCUCCUAUUUAUACAAACUAACAUUCCCGCCCAUCCUAACUGUUAACACAGUUAGGCCAACUAACCAAUUAACUCUCUCCAAUUGUUUAAUAACAGUUGUCUAACCUCUCUUCUUCCUUACAUACACUUUCUACUUCCUAAUAAUGUACCAAGAAAGAAUGCAGGGUUGGUUUGACUAGAUUUCUCAUUUGGUAUACUUUGAUUAUUAAGGUUACUUGUAUAAUAAUUUUAUUUUUCUGUGCAUAAAAUUUGGUAAAAAUGAAAAUUUAUGAGCUGGUCCUAAUUCAUAGGGUUUUGGAGUCUUUAAUUCUUUGGACUUUUUUAAUAAAAGAUUUUUUUUUUCAGUGAAUUUUUGACCCAAUGUUAGAUAUUAUUAAAGUGUAAUGCAAAUUCUAGAAGAAUGUAGAAGCACCUUAGAUAACAGAAUUCAAAUGUAAUACAAGUUCUAGAAUGUUGUAGAAAAGCCUAAGAUAGGAAGAAAAAUCAAGAAUAGUCUACAUGUGUGAAAGUCUAGAACAUCCCACAUAAGUUAUGGCUAGUAUGCUCUAGAAUAUUCUAUGGAUCUAUAAAUACCCAUGAACUCUACCAUUUCAUGCAUGUAGAAGCCAACAUCUAUAACAACUAAGACAACUACAACACUUCUUCCAACUACUACUUCUACAUCCCACUAUCUCCAUAUUACAUUUUCUCUACAUUUUCUCUACUUUAUCAACUACUCCUUUCACAACCUCAAAAUACUAACAGUGGUACCAGAGCUACGUUCGGUCAUCUACUGGGCGUAGAAAAAAUUUUCAACUACCUUAAACAAAACUAUAACUCCAUUUUGUACUACCUCCAAAAUAUUUUCUCAACUCAUGGCUACUACCAAUCAAACAUCAUCACUUCCAGUACCUAUUUUCACAGGAGAAAAUUAUGAUUUCUGGAGUGUCAAAAUGAAGACAUUCUUCCGCUCUCAAGAUUUAUGGGACAUCAUAGAAGAAGGAUUCACUAUUCCAGAAGACACUGUAGCUCAAAAGAAGGAGUUGAAGGAAAACAAGCAGAAGGAUUCAAGGGCUUUAUUUGUUCUUCAACAAGCAGUUGAUGACACAAUUUUUCCAAGGAUAAUUGGUGCCACAAGUGCAAAACAAGCUUGGAACACAAUACAAGAGGAGUUUCAAGGAAGUGACGAGGUACGCAAUGUUAAACUUCAUUCUCUAAGACGAGAGUUUGAANUNUUAAGAAUNAAAGAAUCUGAGACCAUCAAAGACUACUAUUCUAGAAUAAAAGAAAUAGUUAGUCAGAUGAGAGCCUAUGGGGAAAAUAUUCUUGACAAAAGAUUGUUGAGAAAAUUUUAAUUUCUAUUCCCCAAAAAUAUGAUGCAAUCGCAACUGCGAUUGAACAAACAAAAGAUUUGGCUACAUUGUCAGUAACACAACUAAUGGGUUCUCUUGAAGCCUAUGAACAAAGAUUGAAAAGGCAUGAAGAAGACUCAGUUGAAAAUGCCUUUCAAUCCAAACUAAAAUUGCAGUCUCAGAAAGAAUGUGAAGGAAAUAAAAGUAGAGGAGAAAUUUCUAGAAAUAAAGAAAAUUCUAGAAGCUUCUCUAUGACUCAUCAAGGAAAAUAUCCUCCAUGUGGCAUCUAUAAAAAGACAAGUCACUUGGAAAAAGAUUGUUGGCAUCUUGGAAAACCUCAAUGCCACUAUUGCAAGAAAUUUGGUCACGUAGAAAAGUAUUGUCGUAAUAAAAAUAAGCAUCAAGAAAACUUUGUGGAAGAAGAUAAUCAAGAGAAACUCUUAUUCUACGCCAAUCAAGAAUCUUCUAGUGGAGAAGGAAGAUGGUACUUGGAUAGUGGAUGCAGCAAUCACAUGGCGAAAGAUCAAAGCAUCUUCAAAGACAUUGAUAAAUCUGUCAAUGUCAAAGUUCGGCUAGGAAAUGGCACCACAGUGGAGUUCAGAGGCAAAGGAACUGUCAUGGUGAAGACAAAGAAAGGUACGAAAUUCAUCAAGUAUGUUUUACUAGUUCCUAAUCUUAAAGAGAAUCUUUUAAGUAUUGGCCAAAUGAUGGAGAAUGGAUAUUCUCUUCAUUUUGAGAAAGAUACAUGCAAAAUUUAUGACAGUAAAAUGAUAGAAAUUGGCCAAGUAAAAAUGGAGAAGAGAAAUAGAAGCUUUCCUAUAAGCUUCAAACNUGGAACUAAUAUUGCCAUGAAGGUAGAAGUUGAUGACUCAUGGCUUUGGCAUANGAGAUUUGGCCACUUCAACACACAUGCCUUAAAGCUUCUAUAUCAGAAAAACAUGAUGAAAGAUCUUCCAUUCUUGAAGGAGAAUAAUGAAUCGUGCGAAGGAUGUCUCCUCGGAAAACAACACCGAUUACCAUUCUCGACAGACAAAGCAUGGAGAGCAAAAGACUUAUUGGAGUUGAUUCAUACUGAUGUUUGUGGACCAAUGAGAACGCCUUCACAUCACAACAACAGGUAUUUCAUCCUUUUCAUUGAUGACUUCUCUAGAAUGACAUGGGUCUAUUUUUUAAAGGCAAAGUCAGAAGUCUUCGGAGUAUUCAAGAAAUUUAAGGCCCUUGUUGAGAAGCAAAGUGGAAAGUAGAUAAAAGUACUUAGAAGUGAUCGUGGCAAGGAGUACACAUCUCACGAGUUUGACAAAUUCUGUGAAGAUGAAGGCAUAGAGCGACAACUUACAGUUGCAUAUACUCCGCAGCAAAAUGGCGUGUCAGAGAGAAAGAAUCGCACAGUUAUGGAGAUGGCAAGAUCAAUGCUAAAAGAGAAAAACAUGCCUAACACUUUUUGGGCUCAAGCAGUCUACACUGCAGUUUACAUUCUAAACAGAUAUCCAACUAAAGCAGUCCAAGACAAGACUCCUAUUGAAGCUUGGAGUGGGAGAAAGCCAUCAGCUAAACACUUACGAGUAUUUGGGUCUAUCUGUUACAUACAUGUUCCUAAUCAAAGGAGGCACAAGCUUGAAGACAAGACUAUACGAGGAAUAUUCUUGGGAUAUAGCACACAGUCAAAAGGCUAUCGAGUCUACAACUUACAAACAAGAAAGCUCAUCAUCAGUCGAGAUGUUGAAGUUGAUGAAAAUGCUUCUUGGAAUUGGGAGGAAGAAAAAGUUGUUAAAAGCAACAUUCUACUUCCAAUGCAACAAUCUCAAGAAGAAACUCAAGAAGAGGCAGAAAAUUCAGGUACGCUUUCUCCACCUCCACAACAACAAGAUUCUUCACCUGAAUCUAGUCUAAGAAGAGUAAGAUCUUUGGUAGACAUAUAUGAAACUUGCAAUAUAGCCAUGAUUGAGCCUAACUGUUAUGAAGAAGCAUCAAAGCAAGAAGUAUGGGUCAAGGCUAUGGAAGAAGAGAUUAAAAUGAUUGAGAAGAAUAACACUUGGGAACUCGUAAAUUGCCCUCAUAGAAAAGACAUCAUAGGAGUAAAAUGGAUAUAUAAAACAAAGCUCAAUCCUGAUGGAACUAUACAAAAGCACAAAGCAAGAUUGGUCGGUAAAGGCUACUCACAGCAACUAGGAAUAGACUAAUGAGACAUAUGCUCCAGUUGCUCGCUUAGAUACGAUUAGAGUCUUAAUAGCUCUUUCAGCACAAAAAGGAUGGAACAUCUAUCAACUAGAUGUCAAAUCAGCCUUUCUAAAUGGAGUGCUUGAAGAAGAAAUUUAUGUUGAACAACCACAAGGCUUCAUCAACAAAGGAAAUGAAGGCAAAGUACUAAGACUUAAAAAAGCAUUAUAUGGCCUGAAGCAAGCUCCUNGAGCAUGGUAUANCAAGAUUGAUAAAUACUUCAUCGAUCAAGGAUUCAGGAGGAGCAAGAGUGAGCCAACACUAUAUAUUAAGACACAAGGUCAGUACCAUCUCAUUAUCUCUUUAUAUGUCGAUGAUCUUAUUUAUACAGGAAACAACAUAGAGAUGAUGAAAGAAUUCAAAGAAGACAUGAUGAAGACAUUUGAAAUGACCAACCUUGGCUUGAUGAACUAUUUCCUUGGUAUAGAGGUAAAACAACAAAAAGAAGGCAUAUUUAUCUCUCAAAAGAAAUAUAUUGAAGCUCUACUAGAGAAGUUCAAGAUGAAUGGUUGUAAACUUGUCGCUACACCGUUGGUGGUAAACGAGAAGCUACAAAAAGAUGAUGGAGCAUAAGAGGCAGAUGCAUCACGCUACAAAAGUUUAAUUGUAAGUCUCCUAUAUCUCACAGCCACACGACCAGACAUUAUGUAUGCUACAAGUCUUCUAUCGAGAUUCAUGCAAAAGCCAAGUCAGAUUCAUUAUGGAGUAGGAAAAAGAAUUUUAAGAUAUCUACAAGGCACAAAUGAGUUUGGCAUAUGGUACAAAACCAUGACGAACUCAAGGAUGAUUGGCUACACAGAUAGCGAUUGGGCAAGAUCAAUGGACGACAUGAAAAGUACGCCAGGAUAUGCUUUCUCACUAGGAUCGGGUAUUUUAUCUUGGGCAUCAAAGAAGCAAGCAACAGUGGCACAAUCAACAGCAGAAGCAGAGUAUGUAGCAACUGCUGAAACAACAAGUCAAGCAAUAUGGCUUCGAAGAAUACUUGAAGAAAUGGGUGAACCACAAGAUUAGCCAACUAUUAUCUAUUGCGACCACAAAUCGGCAAUUGCAAUAGCAAAAAAUCUAGUCCAUCAUCAAAGAACAAAACAUAUAGCCAUUAAAUAUCACUUCAUUCGAGAUGAAGAGACAACUAAACAAAUUCGACUCGCAUACUGCCCAACAGAAGACCAAAUUGCAGAUAUCUUUACGAAGGCGUUACCACGACCAAGAUUUGAACUACUACGCACUAUGCUUGGAGUUACCGAAUUUGCAUUAAGGAGGAGUAUUAAAGUGUAAUGCAAAUUCUAGAAGAAUGUAGAAGCACCUUAAAUAGCAGAAUUCAAAUGUAAUACAAGUUCUAGAAUGUUGUAGAAAAGCCUAAGAUAGGAAGAAAAAUCAAGAAUAGUCUACAUGUGUGAAAGUCUAGAANNNNNNNNNNNNNNNNNNNNNNNNNNNNNNNNNNNNNNNNNNNNNNNNNNNNNNNNNNNNNNNNNNNNNNNNNNNNNNNNNNNNNNNNNNNNNNNNNNNNNNNNNNNNNNNNNNNNNNNNNNNNNNNNNNNNNNNNNNNNNNNNNNNNNNNNNNNNNNNNNNNNNNNNNNNNNNNNNNNNNNNNNNNNNNNNNNNNNNNNNNNNNNNNNNNNNNNNNNNNNNNNNNNNNNNNNNNNNNNNNNNNNNNNNNNNNNNNNNNNNNNNNNNNNNNNNNNNNNNNNNNNNNNNNNNNNNNNNNNNNNNNNNNNNNNNNNNNNNNNNNNNNNNNNNNNNNNNNNNNNNNNNNNNNNNNNNNNNNNNNNNNNNNNNNNNNNNNNNNNNNNNNNNNNNNNNNNNNNNNNNNNNNNNNNNNNNNNNNNNNNNNNNNNNNNNNNNNNNNNNNNNNNNNNNNNNNNNNNNNNNNNNNNNNNNNNNNNNNNNNNNNNNNNNNNNNNNNNNNNNNNNNNNNNNNNNNNNNNNNNNNNNNNNNNNNNNNNNNNNNNNNNNNNNNNNNNNNNNNNNNNNNNNNNNNNNNNNNNNNNNNNNNNNNNNNNNNNNNNNNNNNNNNNNNNNNNNNNNNNNNNNNNNNNNNNNNNNNNNNNNNNNNNNNNNNNNNNNNNNNNNNNNNNNNNNNNNNNNNNNNNNNNNNNNNNNNNNNNNNNNNNNNNNNNUAGGCCUAAAUGAGUCAUCAAUAGCCAAACAAUGGAAAGGAAUUCUCCACCUUUACUAAGUUGUUGGACAUGAGUGAUUGGUAUGCAAUUUGCUGCUGCAUAUGAUAAUAAUUCCACCCAUACUUGUGCCAUCAGUUCCCAUUUGUUCGUCCCCUCUAAAUGUCUUAUAACACUCGCCAAUUUACACGCAUCGAAUAACAAAGAUUUGCUCCGAUCUCCCUUCACAGCAGAGGGUUCAUAUUCAACAGACACACUAUCUAGUGCCUCGCAUGCCUUCUUCAUUUUACUUUCUGGAUCUUUAUCCUUUUCUUUUUCUUUCAAAAGAAUUCGACCACAGCGAGUGCCACUUAACCCCUAGGCAGACAAAAGUAUAAAUAUAAUGAAUGAUUUAAAAUGAUUGAAAUUUUUAAAACAUAAUUAGUGCUGAUAAAAUUUUGAACUAUAUAUAUAUGUGUGUGUGUUUAUUAUGAAAUCUAGGAAGAGUGAUAGCUUAGACUUUUUUCAUUUUAAUAGUGGUGUUAAGUUUAGAGCAUUUGUAAUUGGUGUGUGUGUAUAAUUUGAGAGGGGAUCAUAUAUUACCCUUUUGAUGAACUUAAUGAAUUCUCCAAGCUUGUCCCACUUGUCCCUUGCCUGAUAGAGAAGCCAAUUUGGUCUGGUCGACGUCAUCAUAGUUCUCUCUUCUUCUCGUUUUUCUUCUCCCUCUAUCAUUUUCUUUUCUCGAGCAGCAAUACUUCUCCUCUUGUGUAAGAAGUUAGUGGCCUCUUCACACGUGUCUAGGACGUUAGUGGCAUCUUCACGCACGUUUAGGAAUCUUUUCUGCCCAAUUCCCCUAANAGCAGACAUCAUGGAAGGUUGCAUGAUCAAGAGAUACAACAUGUAAUCCGACAAAAGCUUACUAAAAUGCCGCAGUUCAAUAUCACUAUAUUCACAAUCACCAUGNUUUACUUGCUUGAGAUCAUGAUCAUUAUUUUCUUUCUUUUUAUUCUCUUCCGUUUUCUUUUGCCCCGCUUUAUCACCAUUUACACCAUCAUCAUGAUUUCCUUUCUCGAGAUCUGGAGCUAUCUGCUCCUUAUGUUCAACAUAGAACAAGAGGUCAGUGGCAAUGUGCCACAUAAUUAGGCACUCAUCAAAGGUGACUUUGUUGCGUUCCACAUAAGGCAACAACUUGUUCCGGUCAUCUUGUGAUAGAUCUAGAUCACCUUCCCGGAUAACCCACUCUCCUCUAGAGGAACAUAUUCUUUGAAUAGUUUCAACAUCUUCUGCAUCCCCAGAUUUUCUUUUCAGCUCGUCAAAUAUAAAAAUCCAAAGUUUCUGAAGCAAUGGCCUCUUCUUCUCANACACCCAUUUUUCCACAAACUCUUCGACUCNAAUUUUUCUAAUCACCCAAUCCAACCAUUUAUUCUUCUUGUCUAAGCAACGUGAUAUCAAGUUGAAUGCCGAGAUGGUUUCAGACCAUCUACGAAACAGUACGCAUCUUUUCAAAACUUNGUAUUCCUCUUUUUCUAACCAUUUUGGCUUGUUAUCCUUGUGUUUUGUCCAUUUGGGUUUCUUAAGCUUCAGGACNNAACUGAAAGUNGUGGCUAGUUUUUUUGCUACCGUGCCAACUCUAGUGCCACNAUCAGAAUCACUGAUUUUCUGAGAGCCGCGAGAGUACAAUANUGCAAANGAGUAGUCAGAGAAAAUGAACAUGAAAAUGGANACGACUUCCAAGGAUACAGCACCAUACAACAAUAUGUAGGUGACUGUAACAUCAAAGGGUUCGCAACCCCUCUUUUCGUCAAAAAUGAAAACAACCAAAGCUGCUACCACUGAAGCAAUGGACAGAAAUCGAAANGUGACUGUAACAUCAAAGGGUUCGCAACCCCUCUUUUCGUCAAAAAUGAAAACAACCAAAGCUGCUACCACUGAAGCAAUGGACAGAAAUCGAAAAGAAAGCCCUAACCAGCUCUCUAUAAUGGUUGUCUUGGUGUAGAAAGCUUGGUAGAUGAAGUUGAGUUCAACCUCUAUCACUCUCAAAGCAUCCAAUGCUGUUCUUUGGAGAAAAUAAGUGCGACUCUCAUUGCGUUCCUGGAAGCUGUAGAUCAUGUCAACAACGAGCCCUUUGAAUUUGUUGAAGUAGUCAUAAGCAUCCUUCAUUACUUCCAAAUCCGAUAGCUCUUUCUCAACAUUUCUCUGAGUUGAAGAAUCUCCGUCUUCACGGGGGAGACCUAAAUCAAAGUUUGAAAGUGGUUAUUUUCAAAAUAAAUUUGGAUAAACGAAAAGCAAAUUAGUCAAAAUUUGGUGGAGUGAAAACAUAAUUAAUCUAAAAAUUAUAACAAUGAAUACUAUUCGGUUGAUGUUGCUUAGCUUAAGCUUUAGAUGGCUUACUCUUGGGAGUGUCUGGUUGUGCGUUGGCACUAAUGGGUGUUUCUUUCACUUGAGAUUGUUUGUAAGGGUCAAUGCCAUCAAUUUGGUCAUCACUUUUGUCUAUAGAAGGUGUCUUGGUGUGUUGAUCAUCUGGUUUGGCAGGAGCUAGUUCUGACUCAUCAAAGUACAAAUAUUGUUCUGAGAUUUCUGGCAUGGUUACUAUGUGUGCUGGAAGUCCUGCAUCCUGUCUUGAUUUCAGCUCAUCCAUGAGCUUUGCAUAAUUGGGACCUGGAUCAGCCUUUUGAAUCAUAGAUUGUCGGAAGUUGUCAGCACUUGCAUGUUGAAGAGAAAUAGUUCGUUCUGCAAAUUUGAUGACCCCUGCCAUGAAAACUAGGACUGUAGGGAUCAAUAACGUGUUUUCAGGAAGUGUCAACAGGAACACGUAACCCGUUAGACAUACCUGUCAAUAUAAAAGGUCAGAUAUUUAUAAAAUUCAUCUUUGAAGCACAUUAAAUAUAAGCUUUUAAAGUCUAACUAUCAUACCUUACCCAGUUGGAUUGUCAUAUGAUAAAACAUAAAAUAUUAAUACGAGCUUUAAGAGAUCAAUUAUAAACUUAACAAUAACAGGAGAGAAAAAAGGGUAAAAAUAAAAAUAUUAUUUUUUGCCAUACUAGAAUAUUUCCAACACACUACUCUUUUAAUGACAAAUUAAAGGAAGAGAGAGGCUACACUUUAUUCUUCGAAAGCCAGACCUUACUAUGGUUUUCACAUCUUCAUAAUUUGGACUCAUCUUGUAUUAUGUUGCUUUUAUAUAAUGAGUGUUGAUGUUGCUUUUUUUUAAGUAUUAUAUUGUUUACUUAAUAGAUAUACAAUGCAAUAUACAUGGAUUCAUGUUGACUUAAUUUCACUCCUUCCUUGCGCAUUUUCUGUACCUGGGACUUGUUUAUUACUUUCUUAUUACAGUACCUAUGGAAUAAAUUUAUAAAAGAUGAUGAAAUUUGCACAAUGUACGAAAUUGGGAUUGUCAAACAUUGUUGAAUAUAUAAAUCUGACUCCUUGAAACAUUAGAAGAGUAAAAGAAAAAUAUAAUUAUACAAGGUGAUGUAGAAUAUAAUUUUCUUUCAAAUUAAACCAACAAUGUCAAAGUGCUUGGAUAUUGGAAUAUCUAAAGCAGUAUAUUAUAUUUAAGUAUUAUGAUUGGAAAAUAUAUGUUCGUCAGAUACUACACAGAUUAAUUUUUUCUCUCAGCAAAAUACAUAUAUAUUAUAGAAUUGAAAGUAAAUUAGGUUUACCUGCACCGUGAGUCCAAGCAUGUGCCUGAGCCAAAGUUCAUUGUCCUCGAGAGAAAAAGCAGUAAUGGUGUCAGGNCCACCCAAGUGCAGCAGCAGAAAGGGUGUCCAGAACGCUCGCAAGUAGUCAUCGAUGGUGGAAACUGCCGUGUCUUUAUCACCAUAUUUGUUGGAGAUGAGGCCAACACAGAAAUCCGCUGUGACAUCUGCCACAAGGUACGUGAACCAAAGCACUGAAACCAACAAUGUAUUUCUCGACCGUUUUCUGAAAGGAGCUAUGAAUAUCAGAACUAUUUGCAUGGUCAGACUCAAAAGGACAACACCCUGAAUGUUCCAUUUGCCCCAAAUGUUCCUGGCAAAGUUUGGGAUAGGAUUUACCAUUUCCCUUUACCUUCUUUCUUCUUCUCUCUCCGACCACAUCUCUUUCUUUUCCUAUCGUCUUUCAUCGUUUUAAAUAGAACAGCAUGCAUGCAUGGAUAACAUGCCUUUUUUUUUUCUUCCCUUAAUAAUUAAGAAAUUCAAAUGAAAAAGAAAAAGUAUAUAUAUUGUUGUUAAUUAACGUAUUUAACACCGUAGAACGACAUGCAAACGUUCUUCACGCUGUAGCACUUGUUAUUCUUAAAGAACGAUUCAUCAGAGGUAGAAAAAAGAGCUAUAGUUUCUCUUUAAUUUGCUUUUGCUGACAGAUUAUUCUUUGCACCUUUUCUCUUUUGUUACAGUUCAGGUUUGGAGUGGUUGUGAUGUAGAUCUUCAUCAUCGAUAAGGAAACAAAAGAUGAAGGUUUCAGCUCUUGUCAUAUACUCUUCCUUUUCAUUCUCUAUCUUUACGUAGUUGGCGUAUGAAAAAACUACAUGUGCUGUUCUCUGCUUUGUUUCUUUUGCUUUAGUCUGUAUAGUCUUUUUGUUGGGGAAAAUGCUUCUCUUUUGCUUUGGCUGGAGACAAGUUACAUAUCCUGAAAGAGAAAGCACAAUAGAGGAACAUAACUUUGCGUCUCAAUUAGAAACCAUGUUAUCUUUCAUCACACGCCCUUCAAUUACAUUUAUUUUUAUUUUCGGAAACUGUAAUUGUUUGCUAUGAAAUGGAACAUUAGCUAUCAUAUGAUCUUGUGAAUUAUAGUAAAUUUCGACAAAAUUUUAAUUUUUUAUAUAAAGCUAUCAAGUGCAAAAUCGC